rnacentral:lncRNA from 1 species
ACACAAAUUUCGGCCAAAAAUGGAGGCAAACACCCAAAUCACAGUAAAAUCAGAAAUCGCUAAUGACCCGAGGAUUGAGCAUUCAUUACACGAGAAUAACAAAAUCAAAGAAAGCCAAUCUUCAAAUUUAAACAAGAACUCAAUUUCUUAAUCAUUUUUUUCUAGAUAGCAUAAUACAAAGGAGUUUCAAACUAACCUGGUUGAACAAAGAAAAAGCUCGAUUAAACCGACUAAAGGUAAGAGUGAAUUCGAACGGAGCUCAGCAACCUCAGAAACAGCGAAAAUCAGCAGCUAAUCAACAGCGGUCCCAAAUCGGAGGAAGAAAAAUUCGACCCAGGCGGAUCAAUCCGAAAUUAGCAGCCACAACUUCGAUUUUAAAUUGUUCGAGUCCAAACAAUGAAGCAAUCUACCAAAAUUCUACUGUUCUUCCAUUUUUGACAUUUUUCGCUGACUUCUAUGGAAAUGGGGGUUCAGCCACCCAUGGUCCAUGCCAUUAUUAAAAAAAAAAGAAAGGGGUGAUGAGAAGAGAUCGACAGCUACGCUCUUAGGAGUGAAGGAGAUGGACAAACUGCUAAUGGAUUUUUUUUGUACGUUUUGGGGGUGUUCUCUAAGAUUUUUCUCUGACCCCGAAAAAGAAAAAAAAAGGGUCUCCUCUGGUUCUUGUGAAGAAGAAGACGUGGGCGGGGGGCGGGGGGGGCGUUGUUCUCUUCAGCACUAUUGU